AUUGAACGCUGGCGGAAUGCUUACACAUGCAAGUCGAACGGCAGCACGGACUUCGGUCUGGUGGCGAGUGGCGAACGGGUGAGUAAUGUAUCGGAACGUGCCCAGUCGUGGGGGAUAACGUAGGGAAAAUUACGCUAAUACCGCAUACGAUCUAUGGAUGAAAGCGGGGGAUCGCAAGACCUCGCGCGAGUGGAGCGGCCGAUAUCAGAUUAGGUAGUUGGUGGGGUAAAGGCACACCAAGCCAACGAUCUGUAGCUGGUCUGAGAGGACGACCAGCCACACUGGAACUGAGACACGGUCCAGACUCCUACGGGAGGCAGCAGUGGGGAAUUUUGGACAAUGGGCGAAAGCCUGAUCCAGCCAUUCCGCGUGCAGGAUGAAGGCCCUCGGGUUGUAAACUGCUUUUGUACAGAACGAAAAGGUUUCUACUAAUACUAGGAGCUCAUGACGGUACUGUAAGAAUAAGCACCGGCUAACUACGUGCCAGCCGCCGCGGUAA
rnacentral:rRNA from 1 species